rnacentral:rRNA from 1 species
UUGACCUCGGAUCAGGUAGGAAUACCCGCUGAACUUAAGCAUAUCAAUAAGCGGAGGAAAAGAAACCAACAGGGAUUGCCCCAGUAACGGCGAGUGAAGCGGCAACAGCUCAAAUUUGAAAUCUGGCCCCUCCGGGUCCGAGUUGUAAUUUGUAGAGGAUGCUUUUGGUGAGGUGCCGCCCGAGUUCCCUGGAACGGGACGCCACAGAGGGUGAGAGCCCCGUCUGGCUGGCCACCGAGCCUCUGUAAAGCUCCUUCGACGAGUCGAGUAGUUUGGGAAUGCUGCUCAAAAUGGGAGGUAUAUGUCUUCUAAAGCUAAAUAUUGGCCAGAGACCGAUAGCGCACAAGUAGAGUGAUCGAAAGAUGAAAAGCACCUUGAAAAGAGGGUUAAACAGUACGUGAAAUUGUUGAAAGGGAAGCGCUUGUGACCAGACUUGGGCGCGGCGGAUCAUCCGGGGUUCUCUCCGGUGCACUUCGCCGCGUUCAGGCCAGCAUCAGUUCGUCGCGGGGGAAAAAGGCUUCGGGAACGUGGCUCCUCCGGGAGUGUUAUAGCCCGUUGCAUAAUACCCUGCGGUGGACUGAGGACCGCGCAUCUGCAAGGAUGCUGGCGUAAUGAUCACCAGCCGACCCGUCUUGAAACACGGACC